ACGGGUGAGUAAUACAUCGGAACGUGCCCUGCAGUGGGGGAUAACUAGUCGAAAGAUUAGCUAAUACCGCAUACGACCUGAGGGUGAAAGUGGGGGACCGCAAGGCCUCAUGCUAUAGGAGCGGCCGAUGUCUGAUUAGCUAGUUGGUGGGGUAAAGGCCCACCAAGGCGACGAUCAGUAGCUGGUCUGAGAGGACGAUCAGCCACACUGGGACUGAGACACGGCCCAGACUCCUACGGGAGGCAGCAGUGGGGAAUUUUGGACAAUGGGGGCAACCCUGAUCCAGCAAUGCCGCGUGUGUGAAGAAGGCCUUCGGGUUGUAAAGCACUUUUGUCCGGAAAGAAAUCGCACUUACUAAUAUUAGGUGUGGAUGACGGUACCGGAAGAAUAAGGACCGGCUAACUACGUGCCAGCAGCCGCGGUAAUACGUAGGGUCCAAGCGUUAAUCGGAAUUACUGGGCGUAAAGCGUGCGCAGGCGGUUGUGCAAGACCGAUGUGAAAUCCCCGGGCUUAACCUGGGAAUUGCAUUGGUGACUGCACGGCUAGAGUGUGUCAGAGGGGGGUAGAAUUCCACG
rnacentral:rRNA from 1 species